CGCAAGCCUGAUCCAGCCAUGCCGCGUGAGUGAUGAAGGCCCUAGGGUCGUAAAGCUCUUUCGCCAGAGAUGAUAAUGACAGUACCUGGUAAAGAAACCCCGGCUAUCUCCGUCCCCGCAGCCGCGGUAAUACGGAGGGGGUUAGCGUUGUUCGGAAUUUCUGGGCGUAAAGCGCGCGUAGGCGGAUUAUAAAGUCAGGGGUGAAAUCCCGGGGCUCCACCCCGGAACUGCCUUUAAUACUGGUAGUCUUGAGUUCGAGAGAGGUGAGUGGAAUUCCGAGUGUAGAGGUGAAAUUCGUAGAUAUUCGGAGGAACACCAGUGGCGAAGGCGGCUCACUGGCUCGAUACUGACGCUGAGGUGCGAAAGUGUGGGGAGCAAACAGGAUUAGAUACCCUGGUAGUCCACACCGUAAACGAUGAAUUCCAGUCGUCGGGUAGCAUCCUAUCGGUGACACACCUAACGGAUA
rnacentral:rRNA from 1 species